UGGGGAAUUUUGGACAAUGGGCGAAAGCCUGAUCCAGCAAUGCCGCGUGUGUGAAGAAGGCCUUCGGGUUGUAAAGCACUUUUGUCCGGAAAGAAAUCCUUGGCUCUAAUACAGUCGGGGGAUGACGGUACCGGAAGAAUAAGCACCGGCUAACUACGUGCCAGCAGCCGCGGUAAUACGUAGGGUGCAAGCGUUAAUCGGAAUUACUGGGCGUAAAGCGUGCGCAGGCGGUUUGCUAAGACCGAUGUGAAAUCCCCGGGCUCAACCUGGGAACUGCAUUGGUGACUGGCAGGCUAGAGUAUGGCAGAGGGGGGUAGAAUUCCACGUGUAGCAGUGAAAUGCGUAGAGAUGUGGAGGAAUACCGAUGGCGAAGGCAGCCCCCUGGGCCAAAUACUGACGCUCAUGCACGAAAGCGUGGGGAGCAAACAGGAUU
rnacentral:rRNA from 1 species